rnacentral:rRNA from 1 species
CUUUAUUGGAGAGUUUGAUCCUGGCUCAGGACGAACGCUGGCGGCAUGCCUAAUACAUGCAAGUCGAGCGGACUUGAAGAGAAGCUUGCUUCUCUGAUGGUUAGCGGCGGACGGGUGAGUAACACGUAGGCAACCUGCCCUCAAGCUUGGGACAACUACCGGAAACGGUAGCUAAUACCGAAUAGUUGUUUUCUUCACCUGAAGGAAACUGGAAAGACGGAGCAAUCUGUCACUUGGGGAUGGGCCUGCGGCGCAUUAGCUAGUUGGUGGGGUAAUGGCUCACCAAGGCGACGAUGCGUAG